rnacentral:rRNA from 1 species
CCUACGGGCGGCAGCAGUGAGGAAUAUUGGUCAAUGGACGAGAGUCUGAACCAGCCAAGUAGCGUGAAGGAUGACUGCCCUAUGGUUUGUAAAUUUCUUUUAUAAGGGAAUAAAACGAGGCACGUGUGCCUUUUUGCAUGUACUUUAUGAACAAGGAUCGGCUAACUCCGUGCCAGCAGCCGCGGUAAUACGGAGGAUCCGAGCGUUAUCCGGAUUUAUUGGGUUUAAAGGGAGCGUAGAUGGGUUGUUAAGUCAGUUGUGAAAGUUUGCGGCUCAACCGUAAAAUUGCAAUUGAUACUGGCAGUCUUGAGUACUGUUGAGGUAGGCGGAAUUCGUGGUGUAGCGGUGAAAUGCGUAGAUAUCACGAAGAACACCGAUGGCGAAGGCAGCUUACUGAACUGUGACUGACGUUGAUGCUCGAAAGUGUGGGUAGCAAACAGGAUUAGAUACCCUUGUAGUC